GUUAGUUCAAUCGGUAGAGCACGAGACUUUUAAUCUCGAUGGGUUCAUGCCCCACGUUAUUGCG